rnacentral:rRNA from 1 species
CCGAAUGCCUAAGGUUUCCUGAGGAAGGCUCGUCCGCUCAGGGUUAGUCGGGACCUAAGCCGAGGCCGAAAGGCGUAGGCGAUGGACAACAGGUUGAUAUUCCUGUACCACCUCCUCACCAUUUGAGCAAUGGGGGGACGCAGGAGGAUAGGGUAAGCGCGGUAUUGGAUAUCCGCGUCCAAGCAGUUAGGCUGGGAAAUAGGCAAAUCCGUUUCCCAUAAGGCUGAGCUGUGAUGGCGAGCGAAAUAUAGUAGCGAAGUUCCUGAUUCCACACUGCCAAGAAAAGCCUCU